rfam:Felis catus isolate Cinnamon breed Abyssinian chromosome C1, whole genome shotgun sequence.
GCCUGGGUGGCUCAGCUGGUUAAGCGUCUGACUUCAGCUCAGGUCAUGAUCUCUCGGUCCGUGGGUUCAAGCCCUGUGUCAGGCU